rnacentral:rRNA from 1 species
UGCAGAAUCCCGUGAACCAUCGAGUCUUUGAACGCAAGUUGCGCCCGAUGCCAUUAGGUUGAGGGCACGUCUGCCUGGGUGUCACAUAUCGAAUCCCCUUGCCAAUUUCCUAUUGAAUAGGUAUUGCGUGCAGGGUGAAUAUGUUGGCCUCCCGUGAGCUCUGUCUCGUGGUUGGUUGAAAAUUGAGACCUUGGUAGGGUGUGCCAUGAUAGAUGGUGGAUGUGCGACCCACGAGACCAAAUCAUGUGCAGCUCUAUUGAAUGUGGACUCUUUUACCCACAUGUGUUUUGUAACGCUCGUGAUGAGACCUCAGGUCAGGCGGGGCUACCCGCUGAAUUUAAGCAUAUCAAUAAGCGGAGGAAAAGAAACUAACAAGGAUUCCCUUAGUAACGGCGAGCGAACCGGGAUAAGCCCACCAUGAGAAUCGGUCGCCCUCGGCGUUCGA